rnacentral:lncRNA from 1 species
CCCAACUUUCCAUAUUAAUGGCGACAAACCUAAAUCUUGACCUAUCCUGAUCCUCUCCAUCCAUGGCCAGCUGAGAUAUCCAGUCUUAAAAUAUUAUAAUGUUGUAAGAAAUAUCCAUGAUCUAUGGUAUGAGGAGAUUGGUGCUGUUGCCACAAGACUCCAGAGAGGUGCUGAUGUGAUUGGAGUUGGAUGCCACUUGAGAUCCAUAAUGCCAAGGAGUAUCUGCAAAGAAAGUCCACACUCAUCAGGGUUGUUCUAACAGGGGAUCCUCUGAUGCUUAAGUUAGCUGGAGCUUUGAGAACAGUCGAGAGAAAAGAGAGUGAGAACCGAGA